GCCAUCUCUCUCUCUCUGCCAUUUUCCUUCGAUGAGGAAGCAUCUAAAGAUGCUCUCUUGGCUCUCAGCCAAGAGAGGAGGAAAGGACUAUCUUGCUAUAAGAUAGAUUCUGAAUGUAUGUAACCUUUUUAAGCUGUCUGCCUUCUGGGAUCAUGUUGUGAACAGAACGUGAGUAAACUCUUUUAUACUUUUGUAAAGACUGUGUUGUGUCUUGUAUUUUAAGAGGGAACAAAAGGGGAAAUUACCAGAGUAAUUAUUAUAGAGGUUCUAGCGAACCUGUGCACACGUUACCGUUGCGAACUUAAAGGGGAAUGUUUAUAAACUCUGCUGAUAUUUUGGGAACUUGUUAGCACAAGUUGGAUAAGAAUAUAAUUAGUCAAUAUAUCCUCUCCUGCACCCCAGAACAUUCCCACAGAAAGCACCCCCGGGUGCAAGUAGAUAAAUAGGGACCGCUUACCAGCGGGAAGGUAAACGGCGUUCCGUGUGCUGCGCUGGCUCGCCAGAUGCAGCUUGUCACGCUGGCCACGUGACCCGGAAGUGUCUCCGGACAGCGCUGGCCCCCGGCCUCUUGAGUGAGAUGGGCGCACAACCCUAGAGUCUGUCAAGACUGGCCCGUCAGGCAGGGGUACCUUUACCUUUACCUUUAUCAUACAACAAACCUGUCUUCUUACUUCCAGGGCUCAAUCUGUCCCUCAUGCUUUUCUGUGUGGCUAGACAGGGUUGCCAAACCAAACCAAACCAAACCACAAAAAUCACAUUCCACCCUUCUUCUGAAAGGAGCCUGUGAGUCAUUGCCGUGAUAAAAGGUGAGGCAUUCAGCAGCAGACAAGGAAGAGGGGAGCUUGCCAGGGUAUCAGGGGUGUGGGACACCUCCCCAGGAAGAAAGGUGUCCUUUUAAAACUGAGGUUUGAGCAAGGGCUUUUGAGAAGAAGAAAAGAAGGGGCCAGAACUGCAUGAGGGGGUGGAAGGUCAGAACCAUAUUGGGGGCUGGCUGAAGGCAGACUAGGACAGAGGCACAGAGAUAACUUGGAGUCCAGUACUGCACUGCGGUGGGGAACAAGCAGUCCUGCAAACGCUGCAGUCCUCCACUGAAAUAUGUGUAAAAUAAACCGAAUUUCUUAAAGACACACCAGUCUCUGCAAUGUCUUGAUUCCCUACAGAAACACGACCCUGGCUAAGCUCCCGAAACCCAGCUGGAAUCUUGCUAAUGAUCAGCAGAGAUUGGAGCUGCCACCAACCAGGUCCUCCCCGGUAAAAUCACUUCAGCCUCAUUCAGGUUCUCAAUUAGUAAAGAAGAGUGUAUUUUAUUUCAGACACAAACAAACUUUUCCGGCAUUCCAAACAUUGUUACUCUUUACUGUCUUAGUCUUAUUUUCCUCUCUCUUUCUCUUCAACUUCCUCUCACUCAAGAAUCCACUGCCCUAACUGUCUCUCUAUUACCAACUGUCUGCUAACUGCUUUUCCAACUGCCUUUCCCAACCAGUCAACCCACUAAAACCAACCAACUACCCACCAACAACUCCAACAACAACAACUCCAACCUCAGGCUAAGCCCUUUUAUACACAGGUGGGCUCCGCCUCCGGCUUUCCUAUUGGUCUAUAUUUUUAACCCUAUCUCUCCCCCCUGUACAGACAGGCUCAAAUGAACGGGCAAACACCACACCACCCUUCUUCUGAAAGGAGCCUUUGAGUCAUUGCUGUGAUAAAAGGUGAGGCAUUCAGCAGCAGACGAGAAAGUGGGGAGCUUGCCAGGGUAUCAGGGGUGUGGGACACCUCCCCAGGAAGAAAGGUGUCCUUUUAAAACUGAGGUUUGAGCAAGGGCUUUUGAGAAGAAGAAAGGAAGGGGCCAGAACUGUAUGAGGGGGUGGAAGGUCAGAACCAUAUUGGGGGCUGGCUGAAGGCAGACUAGGACAGAGGCACAGAGAUAUCUUGGAGUCCAGUACUGCACUGUGGUGGGGAACAAGCAGUGCUGAAAAUGCAGCAGUCCUCCACUGAAAUAUGUGUAAAAUAAACCAAAUUUCUUAAAGACAAGCCAGUCUCUGCCAUGUCUUGAUUCCCUACAGAAACAUGACCCUGGCUAAGCUCCUGAAACCCAACUGAAAUCUUGCUAAUGAUCAGCAGAGUUUGGGAGUGGUGUGCAACCUAUGUAACAAACAGUGCUUUUUUCUGGCAGAGCUCCAUGGUACACAGCACUGGCACCUUUAUAUAUAUAUGUAGGAAAAAAGCUGAAGGCUGAUCGCUGGAGAAUUGAUGCUUUUGAAUUGUGGUGCUGGGGGAGACUCUUGAGAGCCCCAUGGACUGCAAGAUCAAACCUAUCCAUUCUGAAGGAAAUCAGCCCUGAGUGCUUACUGGAAGGACAGAUCCUGAAGCUGAGGCUCCAAUACUUUGGCCACUUCAUGAGAAGAGAAGACUCCCUGGAAAAGACCCUGAUGUUGGGAAAGAUGGAGGGCACAAGGAGAAGGGGACAGCAGAGGACGAGAUGGUUGGACAGUGUUCUCGAAGCUACCAGCAUGAGUUUGACCAAACUGCAGGAGGAAGUGGAAGACAGGAGUGCCUGGCGUGCUCUGGUCCAUGGGGUCACAGAGAGUCAGACACAACUAAACAACAACAAGGAAAAAAGCACUAGUCACAAGUAAUGCUUUCCAUGGUUUGAAUGCUUUCCAUGGUCUUAAAUAAAUUGCACUGCUUGUAUUUCAGUUUCUUUGACUACAAUGGUAUUAUUUCCUUUUACUCAGUACCAUCAUAAUCAAUAGCUACUGUUUAUUUUAUGCAACUGAUGCCCAGAUUAGGAUUUUAAAAUUUAACUACCAAUAUUAUGGUGGAAGGGACGCGGGUGGUGCUGUGGGUUAAACCACAGAGCCUUGCGCUUGCUGAUCAGAAGGUCGGCAGUUCGAAUCCCCGUGACGGGGUGAGCUCCCGUUGCUCGGUCUCUGCUCCUGCCAACCUAGCAGUUUGAAAGCAUGUCAAAGUGCAAGUAGAUAAAUAGGUACCGCUCCGGCGGGAAGGUAAAUGCCGUUUCUGUCCGCUGCUCUGGUUUGCCAGAAGCGGCUUAGUCUUGCUGGCCACAUGACCCAGAAGCUGUACGCCGGCUCCCUCGGCUAAUAAAGCAAGUUGAUCCAGGUGGAAAAAUCGAAAUUAGAAACAGAAUUGUUAGAACCCAAUACUAAGAAUCUGUCAAGAAUGUAUAACUUGCUGCUGAAAUGGAAUACUCAAGAUGAAACGGUAAAAUCGGCCAUGAUUAAAUGGGCACAGGACGUAGGACAUAACAUUAUGUUUGCUGACUGGGAACAGUUAUGGACCACUGGUAUGAAAUUUACGGCAUGUAAUGCCUUAAGAGAGAAUAUUAUGAAAAUGAUAUACAGGUGGUACAUAACCCCAGUCAAGCUUGCGAAAAUUUAUCACUUG
rnacentral:lncRNA from 1 species